rnacentral:rRNA from 1 species
UACGUAGGGUGCGAGCGUUGUCCGGAAUUACUGGGCGUAAAGAGCUCGUAGGUGGUUUGUCGCGUUGUCCGUGAAAACUCACAACUCAAUUGUGGGCGUGCGGGCGAUACGGGCAGACUGGAGUACUGCAGGGGAGACUGGAAUUCCUGGUGUAGCGGUGGAAUGCGCAGAUAUCAGGAGGAACACCGGUGGCGAAGGCGGAUCUCUGGGCCUUAACCUGACGCUCAGGCGCGAAAAGCUAGGGGGAGCGAACAGG